rnacentral:rRNA from 1 species
UACGGGGGGAGCAAGCGUUGUUCGGAUUUACUGGGCGUAAAGGGCGCGUAGGCGGCGCAACAAGUCACUUGUGAAAUCUCCGGGCUUAACCCGGAGCGGCCAAGUGAUACUGUCGUGCUAGAGUGCGGAAGGGGCUACUGGAAUUCUCGGUGUAGCGGUGAAAUGCGUAGAUAUCGAGAGGAACACCUGCGGCGAAGGCGGGUAGCCGGGCCGACACUGACGCUGAGGCGCGAAAGCCAGGGGAGCGAACGGG